UACGGGGGAUGCGAGCGUUGUCCGGAUUCACUGGGCGUAAAGGGCGCGUAGGCGGCCGUUUCAGUCGGUUCUGUAAGUGCGGGGCUCAACCCCGUGAUGGGACCGGGACGGGACGGCUGGGGCGCGGCAGAGGGAGACGGAAUGCCGGGUGUAGUGGUGAAAUGCGUAGAGAUCCGGCGGAACACCGGUGAUGAAGAUGGUCUCCUGGGCCGAGGGCCGACGCUGAGGCGCGAGAGCGUGGGGAGCGAACCGG
rnacentral:rRNA from 1 species